UUUCAUCCCCAGUUACAAUUCGUUUCACCAGAUUAGGAUCCUCAUCAACUGUGGCGAUGAGGAUCCUAAUCUGGCACAACAUGCAGCUCGAUGCUCUCUCUGUUCUGUCAAUGAAUGUAUCACAAAAUGGGAAAAAUCUUUCUCUACAAUGGACCUGGCCAUUUCCUUACUGACACCAAGUUUCACUGCAAGCAUUCUGGUGGUAAUUCGUCUAUCACUGGCAACAAUUUCCUUGGCUUUUUCCACGUUUUCAUCCACCCGAGCAGACAUAAGACAUCAGAUGUGUUGUUUAUCUUAUAAGGAUUCUCUUCCAUUCUUAAAUGCUGAAAACCAGUGGAACACUUGUGCACAACUAAGACAAUCAUUCUCAUAAACAAGUAGCAUAUCUUUGUAAACUUCUAAUGCUGUUUUUCCUAAUUUACAGUAAAAUUUUAUCACAACUCUUUGAUCCAUGAUGUUACAUUUGACCGCUGCUACUUGCACAACGUUACUUUCACAGUUGCUGUGUAGGCACUGGCUGAGUCAUCGACACGAUUGAAGUGUCUGCGUGUUCAGCACAAUCUAGCGGGUGAAAUGGUAACUACAUUUGGCAUAUUUCUUGAAAGUAUUCCUGGAAAAAAAAAUCAGUCUCAUUACUUAUUUGGUGCAUUGUGUAUAUAUAUAAAAUUUAAAAAAUUUUUGAAAAUAUAUUAUUUGUUAAAAAUUAUUGAUAUCAUUUUGAAUUCUACUAGAUGGACCUAUAUUUUUAUCAAAGUUAUAUUGUAUGCACUUGCAAAUGGAACUUAUUAUGGAAUGUGGGAUGAAAUCAGUAUAGCUAUCAAGAUAUUUCAAACUCUUGGUUACAUUGAGGUUGUACAUUGUAUUGUAAAAUUAGUACGAAGUUCUCCUUUAAUAACUUUUCUGCAAAUAACUUCAAGAGUUAUGGUAGUUUGGGGAAUCAUAACAUCUGUUCCUGAGGUUGCAAAUACAAUUGGUGUUCCUCUAUUACUGGUAGCUUGGUGUAUGGCUGAAAUAAUACGAUAUUCAUAUUAUGCGACCACUAUUUUAAAUUGUUGUCCAUACAUUUUAAUUUGGUGUCGGUAAGUUAUUUUUAAACUUAUUGCUAUUAAAAUAGCCUCAGUUUCACAUAAAAAUAACAAUUUCAAAAGUUAAAUAAGAUGGUGAUGAUCAAUUAUUUUAAAAUCCAAUAAAUCCAGUUAGAUCCAAACCAGCCACAGUUUUCCAGCAGACAGUUUAUUCAGUGAAUAAACAUUUUUGGAUUAUCUUAUAGCUAUGUCUCUACUUAUCAAAAUUAUUUUGGAGAGUAAUUUUUCUCCUGUCCACAGAACAAAAGGGAAUGCAUGCUGAGGCUGCAUUUGACAUGCUUGAAAACUCUAACAAUUACAUCAAUUUUCUGAAAAGGGCCAUAACUGGAGAUGGGUAUACAGUUAUGACCCUGCAACAAAAGCUGUCUUUGCAAUAAAAAUUACCCUAUCUCCAUGUCCAAAAAAUGCCUAGCAAAGUCAGAGCAAUAUCAAGGCCAUGUUGACUAUCGUCUUCAAUUACAGUAGUGUUGUCCACCACAAGUAUGCAUUUCCAGGCAGACUGAGAGAUGCAGCAAGAAGAAACUGCAGGAUCUGUAGGCAAGUGGUGAAUGGCAGCUUCAUCACCACAUUAUUUCUGUUUAUUCUUCAUAUCUCAUGCAG
rnacentral:misc_RNA from 1 species